UACGGAGGGUGCGAGCGUUGUCCGGAAUCACUGGGCGUAAAGGGCGCGUAGGCGGCGCGACAAGGCGGCGGUGAAAGUCCGGGGCUCAACCCCGGAUCGGCCGUGGCGACUGUCGCGCUCGAGCACAGUAGAGGCGGGUGGAAUUCCGGGUGUAGCGGUGAAAUGCGUAGAGAUGUGGAGGAACACCGAUGGCGAAGGCAGCCCCCUGGGCUAACACUGACGCUCAUGCACGAAAGCGUGGGGAGCAAACAGG
rnacentral:rRNA from 1 species